rnacentral:rRNA from 1 species
UACGGAGGGUGCGAGCGUUGUCCGGAAUCACUGGGCGUAAAGGGCGCGUAGGUGGCGCGGGAAGUCAACGGUGAAAGUUCGGGGCUCAACCCUGAAUCGGCCGUCGAUACUCCCGGGCUUGAGCACUGUAGAGGCUAAUGGAAUUCCGGGUGUAGCGGUGGAAUGCGUAGAGAUCCGGAAGAACACCGGUGGCGAAGGCGGUUAGCUGGGCAGUUGCUGACACUGAGGCGCGACAGCGUGGGGAGCAAACAGG